GGUGAAUUGGUUUCUCUAAAAUUUUUACUACCUUAAUUGAGUUAAUUGAUGAGUGAGUGAAGUUAAAACAAUACACAAUGCAAACACACAAGAAGUAUAGUGGUUCGGUGCUCUCCUAAGUACCUACGUCCACUCCCCAAGCGACCCCUUGGGAAUUCACUAUAAUCCCUCGGAUUACAGUUGGAUUGUUUUCCGGGCUCACAAUCCAAAAACCUUUACACUUUGGUUUUCCGGGAUCACCAAAAACCUAUGUUGGUUUUACGGGCUCACCAACAAACCUUCACAGUUGGUUUUACGAGUUCACCAACAAACCUACACCGUUGGUUUUACGGGCUCACCAACAAACCUUUACAAGGUGAUUAAGAAGAAGAAGAAAGUUGAAACUCUUAGAUGAGCAAAUAUAACAACUAUGAGCUACAAAGAAGAGUUUAGAAUAUAGUUAUCGCUUUGAUGAGACUUCUCUCUUCUUUGUCAAGAUUGCUUCACUCUUCAAGGGUUGGUGGAGCUCUUAAUGUCUCUUAGAAUCUGCUCAACCACUUCCUUUUGGCUCUUUGAAUGAAGCACUUGAUGAAGAAUGCUAGGGCUUUUUCUUUCUUGAAUGAGCUUUGAUUGAUUUGCCAAAGGAUCUUUUCUCUGAUGAAUAGUGUUACU
rnacentral:lncRNA from 1 species